UGAAACCUGAAAAAUACUGCUUUAGCUUACUAUGUGGAUCUCCAGUAUUUGCAUGUAACAAUUACUUUGAUCUAGACUGACAGAUGUUAUUAUUUGAAUCAAUUGAAUGCAUGAUACGACUGGCAAAGAGUGAUAUUACCGCCUGUAUGUUCCGAUUUUCAUCAUCAAAAAACAGCAUCUCAUUGUAGGGCACCGCCGUCUUUCGGUUGAUUUUCUGAAAGUGUUCCGUCUUAUGUGUCCAACUGGAGAAUAUCUCCUGCAAUACUAAGCCUUCAGCAUGAUGACCUCACACAGUAAGUAGCAUCAGCUAAAAAUGAAUGUCAUGAAAGUGAGCAUUUUACAGCUUGUUUGGAUGGUUACCUACACUGGCGUACUCUCCCACUCCUCAACCAUGAAAAGAGUGGUCACAAGGAAGUCAACUACUAACAAGGAGGCACAGAGCUAAAUGGACAGCAGAAAAAAAUUGCAGGUUAUCAUAGCAUCAGAAGAGCAAUAAAAAGAGAUGCUGAGAUUUCCAUCAUCUCACCUGGGCUACAAACAUUGAUUUUAUCCCCAGUUUUUGAAGGAAAGCGUUUGCUAUAUCUGGAGUGGGUGAUCUUGAGGCAAUAGCAACAUUCACUCCCUUGUCUUUGAAGGCAUGUAAGAUACCUUUGGCCUGAGGAUACAUAGAUGGAAUUUCAUUUUUGUAGCGGCAUUCAC